AUUGAAGAGGACUUGGAACUCGAU
rnacentral:sRNA from 1 species